rnacentral:tmRNA from 1 species
GGGGACGUUACGGAUUCGACAGGGGUAGGUUGAGCUCAGGUUGCGCGUCGAGGUUACGGCUCGUAAAACGUAAACGCCUAUAACUGGCAAAAACGAAAACUACUCUUUAGCUGCUGCUUAAGCAGUUCUAAAGGAUCCUUCCUACAAUCGCCUGUGUUGUAGAUAGAAGGGUCUCAAACUCAAACAGGCUGGACUGACUUCCACCGUCUGAGGAUCGUCAGUCGAGAUGAAUCAGACUAGCUAUCACAAAGCCUGUUGAUAGGCUGAGUGAAUAGUGAAAUACGAAUAUAUCAACUACACGUGUAGAAGCCUGAGUGGCAAUAUCUCUGGACGAGGGUUCGACUCCCUCCGUCUCCACCA